UACGGGGGGGGCAAGCGUUGUUCGGAAUUAUUGGGCGUAAAGAGCUUGUAGGCGGUUUGUCGCGUCUGCUGUGAAAUUUCGGGGCUCAACCCCGAACUUGCAGUGGGUACGGGCAGACUAGAGUGCGGUAGGGGAGACUGGAAUUCCUGGUGUAGCGGUGAAAUGCGCAGAUAUCUGGGGGAAGGCCGGCGGCGAAGGCGCCUUUCUGGGAGAUUCCUGACACUGGAGGUGCGAAAGCGUGGGGAGCAAACAGG
rnacentral:rRNA from 1 species